UACGUAGGGUGCGAGCGUUGUCCGGAAUUAUUGGGCGUAAAGAGCUUGUAGGCGGUCUGUCGCGUCUGCUGUGAAAAUCCGGGCUCAACCCCGGACUUGCAGUGGGUACGGGCAGACUAGAGUGUGGUAGGGGAGACUGGAAUUCCUGGUGUAGCGGUGAAAUGCGCAGAUAUCAGGAGGAACACCGGUGGCGAAGGCGGGUCUCUGGGCCGAUACUGACGCUGAGGAGCGAAAGCGUGGGGAGCGAACAGG
rnacentral:rRNA from 1 species